UACAGAGGGGGCAAGCGUUGUUCGGAAUUACUGGGCGUAAAGGGCGCGUAGGCGGCCUUCUAAGUCGAACGUGAAAUCCCCGGGCUCAACCCGGGAACUGCGUCCGAUACUGGAAGGCUUGAAUCCGGGAGAGGGAUGCGGAAUUCCAGGUGUAGCGGUGAAAUGCGUAGAUAUCGUAAGGAAGACCAGUGGCGAAGGCGAGUUCCUGGACAGUUGCUGACACUGAGGCACGAAGGCUAGGGGAGCAAACGGG
rnacentral:rRNA from 1 species